rnacentral:RNase_P_RNA from 1 species
AAGCUAUGUGACCGCAUACGGCGGUGCCCGUAUGAGGAAAGUCCGAGCUCCACAGGGCAGGGUGCCGGAUAACGUCCGGUGGAGGCGACUCCAAGGAAAGUGCAACAGAAAUAAACCGCCCCAAACGAUGAAGAGCGAAAAUACCGCUUUUCAGCGUUUGGGGCAAGGAUGGAAAGGCGAGGUAAGAGCUCACCGGCGGCAUGGCGACUUGUCCGCCCUGUAAACCCCACCCGGAGCAAGAUUGAAUUGGGAGCAUUUAAUGGCGGCCCGCCACGCUCCUUGUAAUCGCUAGAGCCUGUUGGCAACUUCAGGCCAAGAUAGAUGGUCACACUUAGACAGAACUCGGCUUACGGCUUGCU